rnacentral:lncRNA from 1 species
CGGGAGGCGUCCUUGUGAAGUUGCACUAUCAUGUGAUGAUAAAUUUGCUUGAGGAUGUUACGAAGCAAAACCAGGGGUGGCAUCCCAAGAUUUUGAGGUUCCUAAGAUUUCUCCCACUAUAUACUUGUUUGACAAGGAGCAAUGAAAAUAAGAUAAAGAAAGAGAGGAGAAUAUGGCAAAGAUGAUGAUGCAAUUAGAGUUGUUGACAAAAUAUAUGAUGGGUA